GGCGAUGGAUGAAAUGACUCAAGACUGUGCAGCUCAUUUGGGGGAAGUGAUGAGAACUUCACUUGGGCAAAGGAUAGCGGAUGUCCACAGGUGAAGGCGUAGCGUCGCUUCAUCGGUGUGUGGAAGCGCAAAUGCCUGUGUAGGGUCUGUGCAGAAGCGAAAGACACAGCACUGCAUUCGUCACCUGCUUCCUAAUAUCUUUAUAGAUCAUUUUCCUCUGCCAGAUGGCACCACGUGAGCUUGUGUCCAUAAAUGGCGCUGAAGAUGCCACAAGGCACAAGCAAAGGGAAAAGAUAUUUCUCGUGGGGUAGUUUUCCCUCCAGCGGCCAGCAACACGGGCAAGAUCGACUGUUACACACCCUUCGGAGGAAGGGGCAUCGCUGCUAUGACGCGCCAGAAGUGAAUCACAAACGUCUUGCUCGUACACUCUCUGGCGGAGCCCUCUGCUGGAGCAUCCCAACACCGUGUUGUGGAAACUCGGAGACUAUUAGCCAAUUUGCAUCAUGCAAUUGAGAGUAAACUUCAUCAUACUUUAUUAAGAAGAAAUAAAUGAGGAUGUUUGAAAGUUUAUUAGAAAGGA